CCACUGGAGGGAGAGGAGGAAGAAGAGUGGAGGGACAGAAGGAUCAGACGGAGCAGUGUAAAGGGUGAUGUAAAGAGCACGAGCCUGGGAGUCACAGGAUCAGGGUUCUAAUUCUGGCUCCGCCACUUGUAAUAAUAAUAAUUGUGGUAUUUGUUAAGCCCUUACUAUGUGCCAGACAAUGUAUUAAGCACUGGAAUGGAUACAAGCCAAACAGGUUGGAUACAGUCCAUGUCCCAUAUGGGGCUCACAGUCUUAAUCCCAGGUUUACAGAUGAGGGAACUGAGUUACAGAGAAGUGAAGCGACUUGCCGAAGGCCACACAGCAAAUGGCAGAACUGGGACUAGAACCUAGGCCUUCUGACUCCCAGGCCUGUGCUCUAUUCACUACACCAUGCUGCUUGUCUCUGUGACCUUGAACAAGUAACAUCACUUCUCUGUGCCUUUGUUACUUCAUCAGUAAAAUGGGGAUUAAGACUGUGAGCCUCAUGAGGGACGUGGGUUGGGUCCAACCUGUAUCCAUAUUCCCCAACACUUAGUAUAGUGCCUGGCACAGUGUAAGCACUUAAAUACCAUACAAAAGGAGGAGGAGGCCACCGACCUGGCCAGAGCAGAGAUCUGGCCCUGCAGAAAGAUGUGCCCUGUGAAUAUUGGGGGCUCCAAGGCACUGGGAGAUCACAGUCUUCAAUAUCUUGACCAACUGAAUCAUUUGAAGGGGGGAUUUGGGAUGCAUUAAAAAUCAACGACUCCUUCCCAAAUGGGGGUUUCUGAUUGUAUGGAAAUGUAAUAUCCAGCAAACAGUUCUUUCUCUGCCCACUGGACGACCAAGCAACAGCCCUGGGAACCCUGCCAUCCUGACAUUACAACAACCAUGUGAGUCACUCUCCGCUCCCCUUACCAGAAACAUAUACUCUAGUGGAUGCCACGAGAUGCUAUCAGCUGACAAUGGCUUAACAGCAACUGGAGUAAAUGAAGCAUGGAUUAAACUGAACUCAGGAAAUGGGGAAAAAAACAUAGCAAUCAGUCAUAAAGCAUUGCUGUGAUGAAGUUCCCCUGGCAGUGUGAAUAAAAGUCAAAUUUAAUAACAAUGAUCAUGGUAUCUGUUAAGCACUUAUGAUGUGCCAAGCACUGUUCUAAACACUGGGGUAGAUACAAGGCCAUCAGGUUGCCCCAUGAGGGGCUCACAGCCUUUAUCCCCAUUUUACAGAUGAAAUAACUGAGGCACAGAGAAGUUAAGCGGCUUGCCC
rnacentral:lncRNA from 1 species